AACCGACCUGGCUCACGCCGGUCUAAACUCAGAUCAUGUAAAAUUCUAAAGGUCGAACAGACCUAAUCUACUAGCUUUUACACCAAUAUUUAAUUUUAAUCCAACAUCGAGGUCGCAAUCUAUUUUUUCGAUAAGAACUCUAAAAAAAAUUACGCUGUUAUCCCUAAGGUAAUUUAAUCUUUUAAUCUAAAAAUUAGGAUCAUAAAUCUACAAACCAAUAUUCUAAUAAAGAAAAGUUAUUCCAGUUUUCCUAUCACCCCAAUAAAACAAAUACAAUUUAACUUAAAAUUUAAUAUUCCUAAAUCUAAAAUUCUAACUAUUUGUAAAACUCUAUAGGGUCUUCUCGUCUUCCAUAUAAAUCUAAGCUUUUUCACUUAGAAAUAAAAUUCUAAAUAAUUCUCUCAGAGACAGUCAUUUUUUCAUCAAACCUUUCAUACAAGCUUCCAAUUAAAAAACUAGUGAUUAUGCUACCUUUGCACGGUCAAAAUACCGCGGCCUUUAAACUUCUCAGUGGGCAGGCCAGACCUGAAAUCAUUCUCAACAAGCCAUGUUUUUAAUAA
rnacentral:rRNA from 1 species